rnacentral:rRNA from 1 species
GAAGCGGCAACAGCUCAAAUUUGAAAUCUGACCCUUUGGGGUCCGAGUUGUAAUUUGCAGAGGGUGUUUCGGGCACGGUGCCGGUUUAAGUCCUUUGGAACAGGGCGUCAUAGAGGGUGAGAACCCCGUAUGUGACCGGUCGCCAAACCCAUGUGAAACCCCUUCGACGAGUCGAGUUGUUUGGGAAUGCAGCUCAAAAUGGGUGGUAAAUUUCAUCUAAAGCUAAAUAUUGGCCAGAGACCGAUAGCGCACAAGUAGAGUGAUCGAAAGAUGAAAAGCACUUUGGAAAGAGAGUCAAACAGCACGUGAAAUUGUUGAAAGGGAAGCGCUUGCGACCAGACCUGCUCGCGGGUGAUCAGCGGUGCUUUUCGCGCCGUGCACUCGUCCGCGAUCAGGCCAGCAUCGGUUCGGGCGGCCGGAUAAAGACUCGGAGAAUGUAGCUCCCUCCGGGGAGUGUUAUAGCUCCUUGUGCAAUACGGCCAGCCGGGACCGAGGACCGCGCUUCGGCUAGGAUGCUGGCGUAAUGGUCGUAAGCGACCCGUCUUGAAACACGGACCAAGGAGUCUAACAUCUGUGCGAGUGUUUGGGCGUCAAACCCAUGCGCGCAAUGAAAGUGAACGUGAGGUGGGAACCCUUUCGGGGGCGCACCAUCGACCGAUCCAGAUGUCUUCGGAUGGAUUUGAGUAAGAGCACAGCUGUUGGGACCCGAAAGAUGGUGAACUAUGCCUGAAUAGGGUGAAGCCAGAGGAAACUCUGGUGGAGGCUCGCAGCGGUUCUGACGUGCAAAUCGAUCGUCAAAUUUGGGUAUAGGGGCGAAAGACUAAUCGA